UCUAGACUGUAUAAUUGUUUAGUUGUGACAAAAAGUCUUGUAAAGUAAAUAAUGGUUUUUCUGCGACAUUUUCUGCCAAAUUAACCAAUAACUGCUACUUCCGUGAUCAUCGCGGGACGGGAAGUCUGUGUCAAGAGAUGAGAGUCGUGUAUCUCAAUACAGGAAUCGCGGGACUUUGUUAAUUUGUUCUUGUCUCGAGGGAAAAGGGAUGGGAACAGGAAGUUCGUUUUGAUUUAUGCUUGUCAGAUAUUUUUUUAGGUUUAUCUACAAACGAACAAAUUCUUGGAAAAGGAAAUCUUGGUUUGAAAGAUGCUCAAAUCACGGAGACUGUGUGCGUGCUGCUUAUACAUGCGCGAUCAAUCAGAGCGACGCAACAGGGGAAAUAGUUUAUCGUGGUGAGGACUCACAACUAUCACCACUUAAGAAUACGUAAGAAGACUGAGGUAAUUGAGUUUUGCUGCAUGUUUACACAUGCCUUCCUUACCAAGAGAAACAAGAGAUGAAAAUUAUUGAGUGCGCGGAAGCUUUCCAACGGUCACGAAA